AGGAUAAAGAAGUGGUCAUUCCAACUCACAAUGUAAACACAGGAGUCGCCAUGACGAGGAGUUUCUUGAGUGGACUUAGAAAUCUCAUCCCAUAUGUUGUCAAAAGACAUGGAACCAUGAAGGAAGUGUAAUCCUUCCUCUUCUUCGAUUCCUUCAGGAUGAAAGAACCCAAUGAAUGAUUUUUUUGAGAUGACUGAGAGUGGACGCACUUUAGCCUCGAGAACUGUCUCGAGGUCAAAAUGCUUAUCUGGGAAACAUUCCCUAUAGGUCUUGUUUUCACAAGAUCCGUCCACUGCAUCGAGCCUUCACAGAUAAGAGAAUUAAGUUGGUACUUGAUAGACAUAUCUUCAGGAUUUCAGUGGAACCAAUCAGCUAUGACAGCAACCAAGGUUGUACAAGCGCUUUAAACAGCAGCUCAUUCAUUUCAUUGAUCAAUUGAAGCAAAGAGGAUCUGAGUCUGCAGCUUUAUUUGUCCAUCACGGCUUAUUAUUUCUUUCUGCUCCCAACUACCCACAGCGAAACUUUCAUCUCCAAACUCAGAGACUGAAAUCGGAGAAGUUUCCUCGGAUUUGUGCCCUGCAUGAACUACACACAUUAGUAAGAGGACUAGUUAUGACAUAUAUCUUCAAUCAUGAACAAGAAAACCUCAGCAGUUAGAUACUUGAUACAACUGUACAAGUAGACUAAGCUACUAAAGAAAGCUACCAAACUUUGUAAUCUUCAAUUCAGCAAGCACAUUGGUGUACAAGUUAUUGCACGUUGAUCAGACCAUGACAUGAAGAUAAAAAAUGACUCGUCAAACAUGACAAAGAAAGCAAGAAAAAAGGAGACGUACUUUAGAAGAAGACUCUUUAGAUGAGCAAAGCUGUCGGCGAUCAAAGUCUAUAUCGUCUGCACCAUCCUCUCCAUAAUGUUUCUUCAACAAUGGCUCCCUCUUGGUUUUAGGAUAUUUGAAACUCAACUUCCUCUUCCUCCAGGAAAGAAGACUACGUUUUGAACUCUGCCCUGCAGAUUGAUUUACUGCAGUUUUAUCCUCAGGGUACUUGUGCUUUGUGUCUGAAAUAUGAUGGCUGUAGUGGACUAAAUCCUCGUCACUGCUGCUGCCGCUUGUAUUUGAACAAAAUGAUCCACCAGCAUGGUUUGCAUAGACGGGUGCUUCAUAACUGAAUGACUUCUAAACAAUUGUAUCCUCAUUUCCUUCCUCAGAUUCUCCUACCGAAUCCUCAUCAAGUGAAUCUGUAUACAUAGGAUAAACAUAAUCGGGAUCCUCACUUCUGACUGAGUUCCUUUCAUCACUACUGCUCCCUUCCUCUGCAUGAUAUGCCUUUUUGUGUCGCCUAAAAGAUAAUGCUUUCCAAAAUUUACCCUUUCGCAGACCCGCUUUUAAAGAACCAUCUCCAUUUCUGUCUGUCAACAAAGCCUUUCCUGGGUUCGGAGAUACUGGAGCAGACAUGAUAAACUUCGGAAAUAUCUCUGAAGCUUUGUGAGCGUUCCUCAAUUUCACAAGGUUGAGCACUAGCUGUCAACAAAUAUAUGAACAUAUCUUUAGGAAACAGUCGCAUUUGACAAUAUAUUCACAUAGCUACAGGAAUACAAGAACACAAGCAAAAAGCAUGUGUUUUAGUUUCUCUUACACAGAGGGAAAGGCAACUCUUGAAGCUGCCAAUAGAGACUUCCAAAGGAAUGAAAAUUUCAAUGCCCUCUUGUUUAUCUCCAGCUACUGAAGCAAAGUCUGCAAGAUUCAAUGUCGCAGAAGAAAGUACGGGUACCUUCUGAUUUGGUCCUUUGCUUAUACCCUGAUUCAUUAGAAGUAUGAAUAAAUACAAAGAAGGGAGUAAAUGAACAAUGAAAUCAAACACAAAGACAACGUGUUAAAUAGAGGAAUUAGUGUCGAUGAAAAGCUAAAACCAAAACUAAAUAAUUAGAAGCACGAAAUAAUACACCCGUGGAUUGGAAAACAAACGAUUAUCAUGAACGAUAGGUUCAAAGCAGUCAAAGGAACAUGCAGAUAAGGCCAAUGUUGUGCCUAUGGAAGAAGAACAACUUGCUUCAGUCUCAAACAAGUUGAGGUAUAAGAAUUUACUAUUCCAUCUAAGCUCAACACAUGUCAUCAUCANNNNNNNNNNNNNNNNNNNNNNNNNNNNNNNNNNNNNNNNNNNNNNNNNNNNNNNNNNNNNNNNNNNNNNNNNNNNNNNNNNNNNNNNNNNNNNNNNNNNNNNNNNNNNNNNNNNNNNNNNNNNNNNNNNNNNNNNNNNNNNNNNNNNNNNNNNNNNNNNNNNNNNNNNNNNNNNNNNNNNNNNNNNNNNNNNNNNNNNNNNNNNNNNNNNNNNNNNNNNNNNNNNNNNNNNNNNNNNNNNNNNNNNNNNNNNNNNNNNNNNNNNNNNNNNNNNNNNNNNNNNNNNNNNNNNNNNNNNNNNNNNNNNNNNNNNNNNNNNNNNNNNNNNNNACGUUGAACCUAUGAAAGAAGUAGUCAUUAAAAAGUUCAAACCAUUUAUCAUUAACAACUCCUCCUAUUGUUUCUUCCCUUAAAAUCCAAUUGUUGGAUGCACACCAAAACAACUUUGGGAAGGAAUAAUCCUCAAGGUGCCUAAUCAUUUGCCACCAUUUUUAUUUAAUAAUAGACUAUGGCCAUAAUGCUUCUUUUUUCCUUAUCCAGAAAGCACAACUGAAUAUGUCUAAGAGAAAAAUAUGAAUGAAUACAGUAGGUCUCACCAUCCACCAUAUAACAUCAAAAUAAAUGAACCCCACAAGCUCAGAAAGUGGACCCAUUGAAAUGCAAUCAUGACAUUCCAGAAGGCUUAAAAAGCUUCUGACUCCCAGUGCAUGUCAGCAACAGUUUCUUAGACAUCAAUAUAACAAAGUUAAAACUCAGUUUACGCCAGUAGCAUGUCAAAAAAUUAUACUGUGUAUAUAUAUUAGACACUUUAGGCGAAAUUCUUGGCUUUGCCAUUGUUAAACUCACUAAGCUACUAGUACUCUAGGAGUAAUAAAACUCAGUAAAAACCACCAUAUUGAUGAUGAAUUUUACUAAGCUUCUCUUGUUUAACAUGUCCUCUGGAGAGGCUCAUACAAAUGAUGCUGCAAUAUAUUGAAUCACCAUGAUCAAAUAAUCAAAACUAAGCAUCAACCUAACCAAUAAAAGAAAAAAAUAAGUAUCCUAAUUUGCGGAAAUUCAAGAAAUUUAUCAUCCCAAGAAGUUAUAUAACAUAACCAGGAUUCAUAAAACAAUACAAAUAGCACCCUAUUUCAAGACAACAAAGGUACAAGCACUAGAUAUUCAUAUAACGUACAUUUCUCAAUAACAGUCAGACCUCACUAUAUCAGAGACCUUCAACAACAACAUUUCACUAUAACGGGCAAGUUUUCUGUGGAACCGAUUUUUCAUGUUGUGUUAUAUUAUAUGUUUUCUAUAACAACAUUGCACUAUAGCAAUCAAAAAAAUCUGAUUUUUCAAAGUUAGAGAGAGUGUUUCCGAUGGCCGAAAAAAACAGUUCAAAACAGUCAACAACUAGAAACAAAAACAACAAAUAUUAUAAAAACAAAAACUAUAACAAAAUAAUAAGAUAAUUGAGAUACAAAAAAUAUUGUAUAGUAACAGAAAUCGAAGGACAAAAAACUACAGGAGCAAUACUACGACGAAUAAUAAAAUAAAAAAUCAAGAAACUCACUGAAAUACCCUUUGAUGAUCCCUUCCACUUAAUUUCAACUCUUAAUCUAUCAAAAUCUUGGACCCCCAUUUUCUCAUUUAACAAAAAGUUGAAACCUUUAAGGCAAUUCACAGUAAUCUUAGCCUCAUAUUUCUUUGAUGAUAAUAAGGGUGAGCAUGACAUCUACUUCAUCAUCUUCACAACCUUAUUAUAUAUAUAUAAACUUUUUCAGCCACCCAACAGUGUCGCCUAGCGGUCAAUGAAAUGAGUCACAACUAUGACGUCACAGGUUCAAAUUCCAAUAAAGACAAGGCUCGAACACUACGAUUAUAAAAUAUAUAUAUAUAUGUAUAUUUUUUUCACCGACACAAAACAAGAAAAUAUCAAGAAAGAUCACUUUUUGUCUCAAAAAGACUUAAGGACUAGGAGUGUGCUUGUAGACUCCGGGUCGUUUGGUACAUGAUGAAUAAACAGUAGUUACUAUAAAUAGGGAAAUAAAAUAAUUUUGAGAUAUAGUGAAUCCCAAGCUUUAUGGUGAGAAAAUGAUUAAUUUCCUUAUAUGACGUAUCAUAACAACUCCUUUAUAUCUUAUACUAUUUCGAUUUACUUUUAUUUUUCACGCUUGAUAUCGUUUUUUUUUUUUACUUUUUACAUGAGGUAUAAGAGGUCGAAUAUAAUGGGUAUGAGGAAAGACGGGGGAAGCUAACUAAUAGUGAGGGGGUUCAUCCAAACUCCCUUCCGCAGAAUAUUAUACUACUAUUUAUGCAAGCUUAAAAUAAUUUUUCAUGUAUAUAUAGCAGACGUUGAACCCCCUUCGACUAGUUCUUUCGUUCAUAUUUUUUGAUUUUGAACCCCCUUAGUUAAGAUUGAGGAAAGGUUGAUAUAGGUCGGUGAAAUAUUGAAGAGAGAUGAUUAGAUAGGACAUAGUGUAAUUUUUUACUUUACGAGAGUUAAUUUAACUAAUAUUCGGUUUAAUUUGAAUUUAUUUAAAAUUCAAAUGUUUGAUAACUAUAAGAAAGAAUACUACUUCUUCGGAUUCAAUUUAUUAUCUGGUUUUGAUUUGACAUUGAGUUUAAAAAAAUAAAGAAUAUUUUUGAAUUUUACAAUUAAAUUAUGUCUUGUACUUGUAUGGUUAACUUUUAUUUGUCACGUUCGACUUUGUUUAUUUUUACUUUUCAAGAAAGCUAUGAGAGGUUGGAUAUAAUGAACACGAGCAGAGGUUGAUGUAGGUCAAUGAAGUAUUGGAGAACAUAGAUUAGAAAAGAUAUAGUAUAACAAAAUUUAUUUUAAAAAAUUCAAAUGUUUAAAAACUAUAGAGAAAAUCUACUUUUAUUGUUUUAAUUUGUUUUUUUUUUAAUUUUGACUUGACAUGAAAUUUAAGAAAAACGAAGAAUAUUUUAAUUCUUGUGGCCGGAGUCCUACACUAAAUAUAUGUAGAAUAUAUCAACAUAUCAUUUAAUCUUGUUGUGUUAAACAUAUCGUGUGAAAAGUUAAAGCAUUAUCAAAAAAUAAAGCAUAUAUUUUAAACAUAUAAAAAGAAACGUACGGCAAAUAGAUUAAAACAGAGGGAGUAGAAUAAGUUGUAAUCCUUUUUGUAUAAAUACAAUUAAAAAAUAUAUUUUAAAAUAUUGAUCAACAUCAAUGCAAUUUAAUUCUCAAGGAAUAAAAUAUGACAAGUAAAUCAAACGAAUAGAAUGAUAAUUUUAUACAUAGAUAUAUCUAUAAUAUAUUAAAAGUGUGAAGACCUUUAAAAAAGUGAUUUGAAUUUUUUGCCCUUCGUUAAAAGACUCUUCUUUAGAUAAAACUGUAUUUUCACUAUUUUUUAAAUUUAUUAUUUAAUUAUUUCUUAUUAUAUUAACUAGACUUCCUAAAAUAUAUGGGACUCCUAAAAUAUAUGGUAGGAGUAUUAAUUAAUAUUUUUCUUUCUACUGUUCAAGUAGAAAAAUACACCUAAAAUAUGACUACUUUAUUAUUUAAUUAUUUUUUAUUAUAUUAACUAGACUUCUAAAAUAUAUGGUAGGAGAAUUAAUUAAUAUUUUCCUUUCUACUCGAUUUUCGUAGGAGAAUUAAUUAAUAAUUUUCUUUCUAUUGUUUGAUUAGAAAAAUACUCAUAAAAUAGGACUCUAUUAAGAAAAUACUCUAUAAAUAUUAAUUAUUUUAUUAUUUUACUUUAAUUUACAGAUGUUAGAUAAAUGUGGGUCGGCUUUGAAUUUUUUUUACAUAAAUGUUAGGUUAAUUGUAUUAUCGUAAUAUCUAUAUUAAUUUGUUAUUUUAUGAUAGUUUACAGUUUGUAGAUGAAUCUCGAUUGGUUUUUAGAAAUUUUUAUGUGUAAAAUUUAAGUUUAAUUGUAUUAUUUUUAUAUCACUUUUAUCGUAUUAUUUUGUUGCAAUUUAUAGGUGAUAGAUAAAUGUUGGUCCGCUUUGAGAAUUUUUUUAUGUAAAAGUUAGGUUUAGUUGUAUUAUUUUGAUAUCUCUAUUAUUGUAUUACUUUGUUAUUGUUUACAGAUGUUAGGUGAGUGUCGAACGAUUUUGAAAAUUUUUUUGUGUGUAAAGAUUAGAUUUAGUUGUGUUAUUUUGAUAUCUCUAUCAUUAUAUUAUUUUGUUAUAAUUUAUAGAUGGGAGAUGAAUGUCGAUCGACUUCUAAAAAUAUUUUGGUAAAGAUUAGGUUUAAUAAAUAAAUUCUCCAUCUUUACAUACUUAAAAGAUAUUAGUUUUUUUCUUCCUUUUUUUUUUUGCUUUUUUUGUUUUCUCUUUUUUCUUUCUUUUUUCAAUUUUUUCUUUCUCGUUAUCUUUUUUCCAUUUUGUCUUUUUUUCUUCUUUUUAUUUUUCUUUUUUCUUUUUUUUUUGUUUUUGUACUGAUCAAUUGGAGAAAUAAUCCUAAAAUAGUAUAGAAAAAUACUUCUAAAACAGGAUUCCACUAAGUAAAUACUUCUAUAAAUAUUAAGAUUCACGUUAAACUAGAGAAAAAAUGAAUUUACUUAUUGGAAAAAUAUGAUAGAUGCUCAUCUAACUUGAUUCAGUUGCAUGUCUAGAUUCGUGGAUGCUUAAUUUUCUAGCCCUCAACUUCUUCACUAUUUUUGUCAACAUAAUAAAAUUCAACAUGUGUGUAUAUAUAUAUAUCUUCUUUGCUUUCAUUCAAGUCAUUCUUUAGUGUCAAAAUUUUUGCUCAGACAAGAAUUAUUUUCAUCAAAACUGAAAUUUUGUGAUCACUAUUGUAUUAUUCUGUUGUAGUUUACAGGUUGUAGAUGAAUUUACAGGUGGUAGAUGAAUAUUGGUCAGCUUUGAGAGGUUUAAUUGCAUUGUUUUUAUAUCUCUGUUUUGCAAAUUUUUUUGUGUAAAGAUAAAGUUUAGCUGUAUUAUUUUGAUAUCUCUAUUGUCAUAUUAUUUUGUUAUAGUUUAAAGGUGAUAGACGAGUGUCGGACGGCUUUGAAUUUUUUUGUGUGUAAAGGUUAGAUUUAAUUAUAUUGUUUUGAUGUCUCUACCAUCUUAUUGUUUUGUUGUUGUUUAUAGGUGGUAGAUGAAUGUCGAUCGGCUUUGAGAAAUUCUUUUGGUAAAGGCUAGGUUUAAUUAAAUCAAUUCUCCAAAAGAUGUUAAAUUUAAUUAUUGUAUUUAUCUUUAUUAUUUAAACAAAUUUGAACUCGAUAAAGUGAGGUACACUAAACUAGUUUUAUAAUACAUGGUAACCCACUUUUACUAAUAUUAUUUACAACAGUGGCUUUUAUGGCUUUGAUUAUUUUUUUGAGAUAAGCAUCCAGUAUUGCCUCGAACUAUGGUCAAAGUUGUUACGACACACUCCAACUUCACAGAGAUCCUAUUACCCCUGAACUCAAUUUUAGCAUAUUUUUGUCACUCUUUUAUGCUGAUGUAGCACGUUUAUUAUAUAAAAGCGGCUCCACGUCAAAGAUGCCACGUCGGCUAAAAAGAUUGACAAAAGAUGUUAUGGCAGCACAAAAGAGUGACAAAAAUAUGCUAUAACUGAGUUCAGGGGUAAUAGGAUCCCCUGAAUUUGGAGUGUGUCGUAGCAAAUUUGGUCAUAGUUUAGGAGUAGUAGAUGCUUUACUCUAUUUUUUGAAAAAACUUGGUUUGAAUUUAGAUGCAACCUAUUUAGAAGAAGAAAGAAGUAUACAAAGACUUAUGUUGUCAAAAAAUUUUCUUUGGAAGGUAACUUUUGUUCUUGUUUGAAAGAACUACAAUGCUUUAUUUAUAACUCUUAGCAAAUGGUCUAGCUCUGCCUCUGCAAGGGGGUGUAAUAUAGAAGACCUACCCUUAUGCAAGCCGAUUCUAUGGCCCCAUUCCAAUGACUUUUAGGUCACAAAGCGACACGUAUGUAAGCAGCCUACCCUAACACUGCUUCCAAUGCUCAAACCUGUGACCUAUAGAUCACAUGGAGAAUUGCAUAACUGCCACCAUCAACAACUAAUUCCACGACACAAACCUAUGACUGGCAUAUAUGUAAGCAACCUAUACGGAUGUGCAAGGAACAGUAUGACUUCGCAGCUCGAACUCGUGAGCUAUAAGUCACAUGUAAACUUUAUUGUCAGCCUAUCCUGCUGUUCAGGUACUAAUGAGUGAUUUGGAAGACUCGAGCUAACGAACAAUUGUCCUUGCUCCAAAGCCAGAGAAAAAUGAUUCUCCUAAUGUACAGAGUGUGAUGGUGCAGUAUACUUUCUUAAUUCUUACUAUUGAAAAGGGCAGCCCGUUGUGCUAAAGCUCCCGCUAUGCGCAGGGUUUGGGGAAGGGUCCCACCACAAGGGUGUAUUGUACGCAACUUUACCUUGCAUUUCUGGCAGAGGCUGUUUCCAAGGUUUGAUCUCGUAACCUCCUGGCCACAUGGCAACAACUUUAUCGGUUAAUCCAAGGCUCCCCUUCAAAAGCAGCGUCGACAAAAAUCGUUUGACUGGUGAAGGGGAAGAAUACCUUCAACUACUAGGGAUGGAUUUCAAAUAAAAAGAAAACAAUAAUAAUCAAGAGGAGUAUAGAACUAAUGUAUUCAUUUAUCCCAACUUCCCUCUUUGAGAGAACCAUAGAAAAGUACUCUUGAGCAGUUCCAUAGUCAUUUACAUUAGCAUUAGCAUUCCUUGAGUAUGAAGAAGAAUAUAUACGAGUGAAAACAAAGAAGAGACUCUCCAGGUCAAAAUUCCUAAAUGGUAUGUAGAACAAAAAGGAUUAGCGCUAUGUAUAUACUCGUAAAGCUUUACCAAUCGUUGCUUAUUCUGCUGCUGUCGAUGGUGCUUUGGCCAAACUGUUAGCAAUCAGUUCUUCUGAAGACGAAUCCUCAAACUUGGGGACAAAGCUCAUUGUGUAGUGGAACUCAAUUUGUAGGCGCUGAUGAAGGGGUGUCUAUGCCAUCAAUCCUUUCUUUACAUCAACUUGUAACUCCCUAAUAGGGAUUGCUGCCAAAAAACUCUUAAUGUACUCUUUACAUGCCUCUUUACCUAUAUAAAUGAUGUUCUUUUCAGAUACCUUGUCUUCCUGCAUACUGUCGUCGCUGUUGGUGCUCAUGAAAAUUUUGCUUUCAUCCGCAGCCUCUUUGACAUUGGUUUUCUCUUUUCUAUCGCAAGAUGGCUUAUCAUCUGAUUGUUGAGACUCACUAGGUGCUUGCAUAAUUGUUGUAUCAUGGUCGAAUUUGAUGAUAUAUGCCUGAUUACAACCCUCAAAAAGCAUCUCCCCAAGUGUGUCAAUGAUAUAGUACUCGUCUUUUUCAACCUUGAGGAUAAAGAAGUGGUCAUUCCAUCUCACAAUGUAAACACAAGAGAUGCCAUGACGAGGAGUUUCUUGAGCAGACUUAGAAAUCUCGUCCCAUAUGUUGUCAAAAGACAUGGAACCAUAAAGGAAGUGGAAUCCUUCCUCUUCUUCGAUUCCUUCGGGAUGAAAGAACCCAAUGAAUGAUUUUUCUAAGACGACUGAGAGUGGACGCACUUUAGCCUCAAGAACUGUCUCGAGGUCAAAAUGCUUAUCUGGGAAACGUUCCCUAUAGGUCUCAUUUUCACAAAGAUCCCUCCACUGCAUCGAGCCUUCACAGAUAAGAGAAUCAAGUUGGGAUUUGAUAGGCAUAUCUUCAGGAUUGCAGUGGAACGAAUCAGUUAUGACAGCAACCAAGUUUGUACAAGCGCUUUCACCAGUAGCUCGUUUACUUCGUUGAUCAAUCGAAGCAAAGAAGAUCGGAGUCUGCAGCUUUAUUUAUCCAUCACGGCUUAUUAUUUCUUUUUGCUCCCAACUACCCACAGCAAAACUUUCAUCUCAAAACUUAGAGACUGAAAUCGGAGAAGUUUCCUCAGAUUUGUGCCCCUGUAUGAACUACACACAUUAGUAAGAGGACUAGUUAUGACAUAUAUCUUCAAUCAUGAACAAGAAAACCUCAGCAGUUAGAUACUUGAUACAACUGUACAAGUAGACUAAGCUACUAAAGAAAGCUACCAAACUUUGUAUUCUUCAAUUCGGCAAGCACAUUGGUGUAUAAGUUAUUUCACGUUGAUCAGACCAUGACAAGAAGAUAAAAAAUGACUCGUCAAACAUGACAAAGAAAGCAAGAAAAAAAGAGACGUACCCUAGAAGAAGACUCGUUAGAUGAGCAAAGCUGUCGGCGAUCAAAUUCUAUAUCGUCUGCACCAUCCUCUCCAUAAUGUUUCUUCAACAAUGGCUCCCCCUUGAUUUUAGGAUAUUUGAAACUCAACUUUCUCUUCCUCCAGGCAAGAAGACUACGUUUUGAACUCUGCUCUGCAGAUUGAUUUGCUGCAGUUUUAUCCUCAAGGUACUUGUGCUUUGUGUCUGAAAUAUGAUGGCUGUAGUGGACUAAAUCCUCGUCACUGCUGCUGCUGCUUGUAUUUGAACAAAAUGAUCCACCAGCAUGGUUUGCAUAGACUGGUGCUUCAUAAUUGAAUGACUUCUGAACACUUGUAGCCUCAUUUUCUUUCUCAGAUUCUCGUACCGAAUCCAAAUCAAGUUAAUCGGUAUCCACAGGAUAAACAUAAUUGGGAUCCUCACUUCUGACUGAGUUCCUUCUAUCACUGCUGCUACCUUCCUCUGCAUGAUAUGCCUUCUUGUGUCACCUAAAGGAUAAUGCUUUUCAAAAUUUAACCUUUCGCAGACCUGCUUUUAAAGAACCACCCCCAUUUCUGUCUGUCAACAAAGCCUUUCCAGGGUUCGGAGAUACUGGAGCAGACAUGAUAAACUUCAGAAAUGUCUCUGAAGCUUCUUGAGCGUUCCUCAAUUCCACAAGGUUGAGCACUAGCUGUCAACAAAUAUAUGAACAUAUCUAUAGGAAACAGUCACAUUAGAUAAUAUAUUCAAGUAGCUGUAGGAAUACAAGAACGCAAGUAAAAAGCAUGUGUUUUAGUUUCUCUUACACAGACUGAAAGGCAAUUCUUGAAGCUGCCAACACAUACUUCCAAAGGAACGAAAAUUUCAAUGCACUCUUGUUUAUCUCCUGCUACUGAAGCAAAGUCUGCAAGAUUCAAUGUCACCGCAGAAAGUACGGGUACCUUCUGAUUUGGUCCUUUGCUUGUACCCUGAUUCAGCAGAAGUAUGAAUAAAUACAAAGAAUGGAGUAAAUGAACAAUGAAAUCGAACACAAAGACAACGUGUUCAAUGGAGAAAUUAGUGUUGAUGAAAAGCUAAAACCAAAACUAAAUGAUUAGAAGCACGAAAUAAUAGACCCAUGGAUUGGAAAACACAUGAUUAUCUUGAACGAUAGGUUCAAAGCAAUCAAAGGAACAUGCAGCUAAGGCCAAUGUUGUGCCUAUGGAAGAAGAACAAAUUGCUUCAGUCUCAAACAAGUUGAGAUAUAAGAAUUUACUAUUCCAUUUAAUCUCAGCACAUGUCAUCAUCAUACCAAAUAAAAAUACAAGCGAAAAUAAGUUAUAUAAAAAAAAUAAUUAAAACCUAUUUCCAACUAGUAGAUAUGGCCUAUAUGAGUCUUCAUACUACAUUGUGUAUGAUCUCGUGACCUCCUGGUCACAUGACAACAACUUUACCGGUUAAUCCAAGGCUCCCUUUCAAAAGGGGCAUCGAGAAAAUCGUUUGACUGGUGAAGGGGAAGAAUAAAUUCAACUACUAGGGAUGGUUUUCAAAUAAAAACAAAACAAUAAAAAUCAAGAGGAGUAUAGAACUAAUGUAUUCAUUUAUCUCAACUUCCCUCUUUGAGAGAACCAUAGAAAAGUACUUUUGAGUAGCUCCAUAGUCAUUUACAUUAGCAUUAGCAUUCCUCGAGUACGAAAAAGAAAAGACAAAGAAGAUACCGACGAUCUAGUUACACUCAUAUACGAAUGAAACAAAGAAGAGACUCUCCAUGUCAAAAUUCCUAAAUGGUAUGUAGAACAAAAAGGAUUAGCGCUAUGUAUAUACUCGUAAAGCUUUACCAAUCGUUGCUUAUUCUGCUGCUGCCGAUGGUGCUUUGGCCAAACUAUUAGCAAUCAGUUCUUCUGAAGACAACUCCUCAAACUUGGGGACAAAGCUCAUCUUGUAGUGGAACUCGAUUUGUAGGCACUGAUGAAGGGGUGUCAAUGCCAUCAAUCCUUUCUUUACAUCAUCUUGUAACUCCCUAAUAGGGAUUGCUGCCAAAAAACUCUUAAUGUACUCUUUACAUGCCUCUUUACCUAUAUAAAUGAUGUUCUUUUCAGGUACCCUAUUAAUUAAUAUUUUUCUUUCUACUGUUCAAGUAGAAAAAUACUCCUAAAAUAUGACUACUUUAUUAUUUAAUUAUUUUUUAUUAUAUUAACUAGAUUUCCUAAAAUAUAUGGUAGGAGAAUUAAUUAAUAUUUUCCUUUCUACUCGAUUUUCGUAGGAGAAUUAAUUAAUAAUUUUCUUUCUAUUGUUUGAUUAGAAAAAUACUCAUAAAAUAGGACUCUAUUAAGAAAAUACUCUAUAAAUAUUAAUUAUUUUAUUAUUUUACUUUAAUUUACAGAUGUUAGAUAAAUGUGGGUCGGCUUUGAAUUUUUUUUACAUAAAUGUUAGGUUAAUUGUAUUAUCGUAAUAUCUAUAUUAAUUUGUUAUUUAAUGAUAGUAUACAGUUUGUAAUACUCUAUAAAUAUUAAUUAUUUUAUUAUUUUACUUUAAUUUACAGAUGUUAGAUAAAUGUGGGUCGGCUUUGAAUUUUUUUUAAAAUAAAUGUUAGGUUUAAUUGUAUUAUCGUAAUAUCUAUAUUAAUUUGUUAUUUUGUGGUAGUUUACAGUUUGUAGAUGAAUCUCGAUCGGUUUUUAGAAAUUUUUAUGUGUAAAAUUUAAGUUUAAAUGUAUUAUUUUUAUAUCACUUUUAUCGUAUUAUUUUGUUGCAAUUUACAGGUGAUAGAUAAAUGUUGGUCCGCUUUGAGAAUUUUUUUAUGUAAAAGUUAGGUUUAGUUGUAUUAUUUUGAUAUCUCUAUUAUUGUAUUACUUUGUUAUUGUUUACAGAUGUUAGGUAAGUGUCGAACGAUUUUGAAAAUUUUUUUGUGUGUAAAGAAUAGAUUUAGUUGUGUUAUUUUGAUAUCUCUAUCAUUAUAUUAUUUUGUUAUAAUUUAUAGAUGGUAGAUGAAUGUCGAUCGGCUUUUAAAAAUAUUUUGGUAAAGAGUAGGUUUAAUAAAUAAAUUCUCCAUCUUUACAUACUUAAAAGAUAUUAGUUUUUUUCUUCAUUUUUUCUUUUGCUUUUUUUGUUUUCUCUUUUUUCUUUCUUUUUUCAAUUUUUUCUUUCUCGUUAUCUUUUUUCCAUUUUGUCUUUUUUUUUCUUUUUCUUUUUAUUUUUUCUCUUUUUUUUUGUUUUUGUACUAAUCAAUUAGAGAAAUACUCCUAAAAUAGUAUAGAAAAAUACUCCUAAAACAGGAUUCCACUAAGUAAAUACUUCUAUAAAUAUUAAGAUUCACGUUAAACUAGAGAAAAAACCAAUUUAAUUAUUGAAAAAAUAUGAUAGAUGCCCAUCUAACUUGAUUCAGUUGCAUGUCUAGAAUCGUGGAUGCUUAAUUUUCUAACUCUCAACUUCUUCACUAUUUUUGUCAACAUAAUAAAAUUCAACAUGUGUGUAUAUAUAUAUAUCUUCUUUGCUUUCAUUCAAGUCAUUCUUUAGUGUCAAAAUUUUUGCUCAGACAAGAAUUAUUUUCAUCAAAACUGAAGUUUUGUGAUCACUAUUGUAUUAUUUUAUUGUAGUUUACAGGUUGUAGAUGAAUUUACAGGUGGUAGAUGAAUGUUGGUCGGCUUUGAGAAUUUUUUUUGGGUGAGGGUUAGGUUUAAUUGCAUUGUUUUUAUAUCUCUGUUUUGCAAAAAUUUUUUGUGUAAAGGUAAAGUUUAGUUGUAUUAUUUUGAUAUCUCUAUUGUCAUAUUAUUUUGUUAUAGUUUACAAUUGAUAGACGAGUGUCAGAAGACUUUGAAUUUUUUUUUGUGUAAAGGUUAGAUUUAAUUAUAUUAUUUUGAUGUCUCUAUCAUCUUAUUGUUUUGUUGAUGUUUAUAGGUGGUAGAUGAAUGUCGAUCGGCUUUGAGAAAUUCUUUUGGUAAAGGCUAGGUUUAAUUAAAUCAAUUCUCCAAAAGAUGUUAAAUUUAAUUAUUGUAUUUAUCUUUAUUACUUAAACAAAUUUGAACUCGAUAAAGUGAGGUACACUAAACUAGUUUUAUAAUACAUGGUAACCCACUUUUACUAAUAUUAUUUACAACAGUGGCUUUUAUGGCUUUGAUUAUUUUUUUGAGAUAAGCAUCCAGUAUUUCCUCGAACUAUGGUCAAAGUUGUUACGACACACUCCAACUUCACAGAGAUCCUAUUUCCCCUGAACUCAAUUUUAGCAUAUUUUUGUCACUCUUUUAUGCUGAUGUAGCACGUUUAUUAUAUAAAAGCAGCUCCACGUCAAAGAUGCUAUGUCAGCUAAAAAGAUUGACAAAAGAUGUUAUGGUAGCACAAAAGAGUGACAAAAAUAUGCUAUAACUGAGUUCAAGGGUAAUAGGAUCCCCUGAAUUUGGAGUGUGUCGUAGCAAAUUUGGUCAUAGUUUAGGAGUAGUAGAUGCUUUACUCUAUUUUUUGAAAAAACUUGGUUUGAAUUUAGAUGCAGCCUAUUUAGAAGAAGAAAGAAGUAUACAAAGACUAUUGUUGUCAAAAAUUUUCUUUGAAGGUAACUUUUGUUCUUGUUUGAAAGUACUACAAUGCUUUAUUUAUAACUCUUAGCAAAUGGUCUAGCUCUGCCUCUGCAAGGGGGUGUAAUAUAGACGACCUACCCUUAUGCAAGCCGAUUCUAUGGCCCCAUUCCAAUGACUUUUAGGUCACAAAGCGACACGUAUGUAAGCAGCCUACCCUAACACUGCUUCCAAUGCUCAAACCUGUGACCUAUAGAUCACAUGGAGAAUUGCAUAACUGCCACCAUCAACAACUAAUUCCACGACACAAACCUAUGACUGGCAUAUAUGUAAGCAACCUAUACGGAUGUGCAAGUACCAGUAUGACUUCGCAGCUCGAACUCGUGAGCUAUAAGUCACAUGUAAACUUUAUUGUCAGCCUAUCCUGCUGUUCAGGUACUAAUGAGUGAUUUGGAAGACUCGAGCUAACGAACAAUUGUCCUUGCUCCAAAGCCAGAGAAAAAAGAUUCUCCUAAUGUACAGAGUGUGAUGGUGCAGUAUACUUUCUUAAUUCUUACUAUUGAAAAGGGCAGCCCGCUGUGCUAAAGCUCCCGCUAUGCGCAGGGUUUGGGGAAGGCCCCACCACAAGGGUGUAUUGUACGCAACCUUACCUUGCAUUUCUGGCAAAGGCUGUUUCCAAGGUUUGAUCUCGUGACCUCCUGGCCACAUGGCAACAACUUUAUCGGUUAAUCCAAGGCUCCCCUUCAAAAGCAGCGGCGACAAAAAUCGUUUGACUGGUGAAGGGGAAGAAUACCUUCAACUACUAGGGAUGGAUUUCAAAUAAAAAGAAAACAAUAAUAAUCAAGAGGAGUAUAGAACUAAUGUAUUCAUUUAUCCCAACUUCCCUCUUUGAGAGAACCAUAGAAAAGUACUCUUGAGUAGUUCCAUAGUCAUUUACAUUAGCAUUAGCAUUCCUUGAGUACGAAGAAGAAUAUAUACGAAUGAAAACAAAGAAGAGACUCUCCAGGUCAAAAUUCCUAAAUGGUAUGUAGAACAAAAAGGAUUAGCGCUAUGUAUAUACUCGUAAAGCUUUACCAAUUGUUCCUUAUUCUGCUGCUGUCGAUGGUGCUUUGGCCAAACUGUUAGCAAUCAGUUCUUCUGAAGACGAAUCCUCAAACUUGGGGACAAAGCUCAUUGUGUAGUGGAACUCAAUUUGUAGGCGCUGAUGAAGGGGUGUCGAUGCCAUCAAUCCUUUCUUUACAUCAACUUGUAACUCCCUAAUAGGGAUUACUACCAAAAAACUCUUAAUGUACUCUUUACAUGCCUCUUUACCUAUAUAAAUGAUGUUCUUUUCAGGUAGCCUGUCUUCCAGCAUACUGUCGUCGCUGUUGGUGCUCAUGAUAAUUUGCUUUCAUCCGCAACCUUUUUGACAUCGGUUUUCUCUUUUCUAUCGCAAGAUGGCUUAUCAUCUGAUUGUUGAGACUCACUAGGUGCUUGCAUAAUUGUUGUAUCUUGGUCAAAUUUGAGGAUAUAUGCCUGAUUACAACCCAAAAAAAACCUCUCCCCAAGUGUGUCAAUGAUAUAGUACGCGUCUUUUUCAACCUUGAGGAUAAAGAAGUGGUCAUUCCAACUCACAAUGUAAACACAGGAGAUGCCAUGACUAGGAGUUUCUUGAGCAGACUUGGAAAUCUCGUCCCAUAGGUUGUCAAAAGACAUGGAACCAUGAAGGAAGUGGAAUCCUUCCUCUUCUUCGAUUCCUUCGGGAUGAAAGAACCCAAUGAAUGAUUUUUCUAAGACUACUGAGAGUGGACGCACUUUAGCCUCGAGAACUGUCUCGAGGUCAAAAUGCUUAUCUAGGAAACGUUCCCUAUAG
rnacentral:lncRNA from 1 species